rnacentral:rRNA from 1 species
UACGUAGGGGGCAAGCGUUGUCCGGAAUUAUUGGGCGUAAAGAGCGCGUAGGCGGUCCGAUAAGUCGACUGUGAAAGUCUAGGGCUCAACCCUGGAAAGCCGGUCGAUACUGUCGGACUAGAGUCCGGAAGAGGCGAGUGGAAUUCCCGGUGUAGCGGUGAAAUGCGCAGAUAUCGGGAGGAACACCAAUGGCGAAGGCAGCUCGCUGGGACGGUACUGACGCUGAGACGCGAAAGCGUGGGGAGCAAACAGG